AACUCGUUUGUGAGAUCCUGAAAAUCAUUUUCCAUUAACUCACGAAAUUCAAUAUUAACUUUUGUUCAAAUUUUGGAGCUAACUGCUUUGCUACAUGUGCCUAUACUUAUAUUGAAAUCUGACAUGUUUUUGACCAAGCUUUAAUAUGCUUACAACCACUAAUGAAGCAAAAUUGUGUGUUGCCCUUGUGUCAAUUGAAACUAG
rnacentral:lncRNA from 1 species